AGAAAUUUCAAAGUCAACCCUUGUUCAGUGUAAAUAGAAAAAUAAGCUUUUCGUUAAUCGUGAUUCUUCGGUUGCUUCUGUUUCUGUUUUCCUUGAUCAGUCACCAUGGUUUCGAGGUCUCAUGGAACAUCAUCUGAACCAGGAGAUGAAAACACCAACACCUCUUUUCAUGAGAUGAAGAUUGAAGAAACAGGAGACGAAUUCUUCCAUCGCAACAUUGGGCGAUAUCGUCAUCGAAAAGACACCAAGGAUACUUCAAAAUUGGGAUGGGCUUUUGUUCUCACAAACCUCCUGCUAGAGAUCCUGGUGCUGGCUUUUGACCAAAUGGCCUCGCCGCAUCAUCCUCAAUAUGGUUUGAUCGUUUGGGGAUUGUCUUCGGCAGUCAUGUUUAUUAGCAUCGCUGAGCUCAUUUACAAAGGAAUGAUCAAGGAAAAGCUUAGCGUAUUGCAAUGCUUGAAAUCUCUGCUUCCUUUUUCUUCUUCUGGCGGUAAGAAACCAUAUAGCUUCGUGGAUGGUUUGAUCCUACUUGGUGCCAAGGUUCAAAUGGUUUUGGCAAGCAUUGCAUAUGCUUAUUUGCGUCAAGGUAAAGAGAAUCCAAUCAAAAUUUCUCUUGUAUCGCUAGUUUUCAUGGUAUGUUAUGCUUUUUCUAAAUUACAUAAGGAUGGGAAUGAAGCAAACCUUCUUCCAGUUAGACAGGAGAAUUGAAGAUGGUUUGGCAAUUGCAUAAACUAUGAGCAUCAUUCUUGCUCAUUUCAUGUUAAUCUUUAGUUUCUAUAUCUACAGUUCCUACUGUACCAAAGAUAAAUUCUAUUGUUGUCGUUAAAAAACUUCAUGAUUAUGCAUCUCAAGUUUUUUUGUCUCAAGUUUUUUUGUGUUAAUUUGUACUACUGGGCUUGAAAGCCCAAGACUACUCAAAACACACCAAUGGAAACUCCCUCCACUUGCAAGUUUCUCUACUCGACCACUCCUUCACUGUAGCUAGGUGCAGGGAAGACGGCAAUCCCCUGUUCUGAUUCUAUAAUGUAGGCUGUCAUAUUUUUGUUCAGUAAAUUUUGAAGUUUUU
rnacentral:misc_RNA from 1 species